rnacentral:rRNA from 1 species
AUUGAACGCUGGCGGAAUGCUUUACACAUGCAAGUCGAACGGCAGCACGGACUUCGGUCUGGUGGCGAGUGGCGAACGGGUGAGUAAUGCAUCGGAACGUGCCCAAUCGGGGGGGAUAACGUAGCGACAGUUACGCUAAUACCGCAUACGAUCUAAGGAUGAAAGCGGGGGAUCGCAAGACCUCGCGCGAAUGGAGCGGCCGAUGUUAGAUUAGGUAGUUGGUGGGGUAAAGGCUCACCAAGCCGACGAUCUAUAGCUGGUCUGAGAGGAUGAUCAGCCACACUGGGACUGAGACACGGCCCAGACUCCUACGGGAGGCAGCAGUGGAGAAUUUUGGACAAUGGGCGCAAGCCUGAUCCAGCCAUUCCGCGUGCAGGAUGAAGGCCCUCGGGUUGUAAACUGCUUUUGUACAGAACGAAAAGCUCUGGGUUAAUACCCUGGGGUCAUGACGGUACUGUAAGAAUAAGCACCGGCUAACUACGUGCCAGCCGCCGCCGUAA